rnacentral:miRNA from 1 species
CCCUUCAUUCCACCGGAGUCUGU